GUUUCUUCAUCAAAUUGUUAUUAAAUCCCUACUGAGUGCCACGCACUGUGCUGGAUUUUGGGACUGUCAUGAUUUUUCUGACUUGGAGACUGGACUUUGGGGCUCUGAUGUCUUUUUCUCAAGAAGGCCUUGAGUUCCUAGAAGGUUCUGAGUCACCUCUUCCCCAGUGUCCAGCUCUGCACAUCAAUGGGAGAGACAGUUUUUGCUAAGACAAAAAAAUUAAAUAAGUGAAGACUGAGAAGGAUCCAUUGGAUUGGACUUGGAAUCAUUGUUGGGUAGACAUAUGGCUGCAGUGGUUUGAAGAGUGAAUGAAAGUAGAGACACCCUAUUUGGAUGGAUAUCACUAUGCACAGCUUACACUCAAGGAAUGAGGAGACAGGCUCCAUCUCUGUGUGAGUAGAGUAUCUACACAGAUUAUGAAGAAAUCUUCUGAACCACAGCCUUUUCUUUCCAAGUGAUAAAAUCCCAAAUAGAACCAAGGCAAAAGGAGGAUGAUGUCAGAAUUCCGGGGUAUUGCACAUGAUUGAAUGAAGAAGUACAUCACCAGAUCAAGGAUGAAGCUGUCUUUAAGAACAACCUGAACAGAAAUUGAAUGCUGCUGAGAUUCUUGUCUUUCUCUCUUCCCCUUCUAUAAGCUUUCACUUUGAACUUGUGGGAAUGGGUGGGGAGGGUAGGAGGACAGGCAGAAGAAGAAUCUGCUACACAAAAAUCAAGAACUUUUAGGGGGGAUCCAUCAAAACGAGGUUCAGAUUCAGUUUUGCAAGCUUAACUUGGGUUAUCUAACAGCUCAGAAGGGAUAAAGAUCUGCUCAAUAGUAACUCUCAGGCUUUUUGGGGUAGAAUUACAUGUAAUGAGGUAUGUAAGGCACUUAGCAUAGCAGCUGGCCUAUAGUAGCUACUC
ensembl:lncRNA